rnacentral:pre_miRNA from 1 species
GAUUUCAACUGAAAAAUUCAUCAACAACAAAGUUAUAUAACUCAUCAAGAUCUAUAACUUUUAUUUUGAUUGUUUCUUCAUCCGACAAAGUGAUAGUAAUAUUGUUCACAAAAUUUACAUGUCUCUCAUAUGUUUUUAUAAACUAUAAGAGACAUAUGUAAACUUUAUGAACAAUGUUACUAUCACUUUAUCAGAUGAAGAAAUAACUAAAAUAAAAGUUAUAUGUCUUGAUGAGCUCUGCAACUUUUAUGUUCAUGACUUUUUCAGCUGAAAUU